rnacentral:rRNA from 1 species
UGGGGAAUAUUGCACAAUGGGGGAAACCCUGAUGCAGCGACGCCGCGUGAGUGAAGAAGUAUUUCGGUAUGUAAAGCUCUAUCAGCAGGGAAGAAGCAAGACGGUACCUGACUAAGAAGCCCCGGCUAACUACGUGCCAGCAGCCGCGGUAAUACGUAGGGGGCAAGCGUUAUCCGGAAUUACUGGGUGUAAAGGGAGCGUAGACGGUGAUGCAAGUCUGGAGUGAAAGGCGGGGGCCCAACCCCCGGACUGCUCUGGAAACUGUGUAACUUGAGUGCAGGAGAGGUAAGCGGAAUUCCUAGUGUAGCGGUGAAAUGCGUAGAUAUUAGGAGGAACACCAGUGGCGAAGGCGGCUUACUGGACUGUAACUGACGUUGAGGCUCGAAAGCGUGGGGAGCAAACAGG